GAGGGUAGAGCUCAGUGGUAGAGCACGUACUUACCAUGCACAAGGUCCUGGGUUCAAUCCCCACUACUGCCA
rnacentral:tRNA from 1 species